rnacentral:rRNA from 1 species
UACGGAGGAUGCAAGCGUUAUCCGGAAUGAUUGGGCGUAAAGCGUCCGCAGGUGGCUGUGUAAGUCUGCUGUCAAAGAGCGAAGCUCAACUUCGUAAAGGCAGUGGAAACUACACGGCUAGAGUGCGUUCGGGGCAGAGGGAAUUCCUGGUGUAGCGGUGAAAUGCGUAGAGAUCAGGAAGAACACCGGUGGCGAAGGCGGAUCUCUGGGCCUUACCUGACGCUGAGGCGCGAAAGCUAGGGGAGCGAACAGG